UUCUGGUUGAUCCUGCCGGAGGCCACUGCUAUGGGGGUCCGACUAAGCCAUGCGAGUCAUGGGGCGCCUUGCGCGCACCGGCGGACGGCUCAGUAACACGUCGGUAACCUACCCUCGGGAGGGGGAUAACCCCGGGAAACUGGGGCUAAUCCCCCAUAGGUCUGAGGUACUGGAAGGUCCUCAGACCGAAAGGGGCUCUGCCCGCCCGAGGAUGGGCCGGCGGCCGAUUAGGUAGUUGGUGGGGUAACGGCCCACCAAGCCGAAGAUCGGUACGGGCCAUGAGAGUGGGAGCCCGGAGAUGGACACUGAGACACGGGUCCAGGCCCUACGGGGCGCAGCAGGCGCGAAACCUCCGCAAUGCUCGAAAGAGCGACGGGGGGACCCCCAGUGCCGUGGCAACGCCACGGCUUUUCCGGAGUGUAAAGAGCUCCGGGAAUAAGGGCUGGGCAAGGCCGGUGGCAGCCGCCGCGGUAAUACCGGCGGCCCGAGUGGUGGCCUGCGUAUUAUUGGGCCUAAAGCGUCCGUAGCCGGGCCUGUAAGUCCCUGGCGCAAAUCCCACGGCUCAACCGUGGGGCUUGCUGGGGAUACUGCAGGCCUUGGGACCGGGUAGAGGCCGGGGGUACUCCUGGGGUAGGGGUGAAAUCCUAUAAUCCCAGGAGGACCGCCAGUGGCGAAGGCGCCCGGCUGGUACGGGUCCGACGGUGAGGGACGAAGGCCAGGGGAGCGAACCGGAUUAGAUACCCGGGUAGUCCUGGCUGUAAAGGAUGCGGGCUAGGUGUCGGGUGAGCUCCGAGCUCGCCCGGUGCCGCAGGGAAGCCGUUAAGCCCGCCGCCUGGGGAGUACGGCCGCAAGGCUGAAACUUAAAGGAAUUGGCGGGGGAGCACUACAAGGGGUGGAGCGUGCGGUUUAAUUGGAUUCAACGCCGGGA
rnacentral:rRNA from 1 species